UACGAAGGGGGCUAGCGUUGCUCGGAAUGACUGGGCGUAAAGGGCGCGUAGGCGGAUGGCACAGUCAGAUGUGAAAUUCCCGGGCUUAACCUGGGGGCUGCAUUUGAUACGUGUUGUCUUGAGUUCGGAAGAGGGUCGUGGAAUUCCCAGUGUAGAGGUGAAAUUCGUAGAUAUCGGGAGGAACACCAGUGGCGAAGGCGGUUACCUGGUCCUGCACUGACGCUGAUGCACGAAAGCUGGGGGAGCAAACGGG
rnacentral:rRNA from 1 species